UCCGCCUCCUCUUUUCGCAACAUUGACGCAAUGUAUAAAUGCUGGAACAAAAGGACAACUUCCUUGAAGCUUGGCGUAAUUGCAAUAAUAGAGAUAGAGAAGGGCUUCAGUGACAGAGUGAUGGGAGUCCGGCGUUCUACCGGAAUAUCUUUACCGCGGCUUCUUUGACUCGACGUACACGUUAAAAUGGAAUUGCACUUUCCAGGUUAUUCCAAGCCUGAAGAAAGGAAUGUAGAGCACACGGCAUGACAGUGAGCUGUGACAAAGUCAAGUAAAUAUUGCGAAACGAGGGCCGUGUAUGUGCGGCUGUGUGGGCGCGCCUCGCGUGAGUGCGUGAGCGCGCGCUCUGUGCGGGGCCUGUCGGUACUGUAGCAGCACAGAAUGGUUUGUGAGUUAUAACGGGGGUGCAGGCCGUACUGUGCUGCGGCAAGAACAACAGGACAGACGCACACAAACGGGUGAAAAGGACAGAAGGAAGGUGAAGUAGGCAAGAACAGCAGCAGCAGCAGCAAUACCACGUGUGCCAAUAAGUCUCCUGAACUUGGCCGUGUGACUGACUGGCUGCCUGGCUGUAGCAGCACGUAAAUAUUGGAGUCAAAGCACUAGCGAAUCCUCCAGUAUUGACCGUGCUGCUGGAGUUAGGCGGGCCGUUUACCGUCUGUGCUUCGGGAUCCCUCUUCUCGUCAGGAAAGCGCAAGAAGACCAACGACUGACUAAUAACAUGCUGUCCAAAUGCCGGUGUUUUUAUUCUUUUAAUCGUUUUAAUGCAUUUAUUCUCUUGAGAAGUGAUGACAUGAAAUUUUAUGAAGCUGUAUAAUUGUUCGUGUAAUUUUUUAAUUGGUCAGAUGCUUCUGUAAAAGUGAUUUGAGCUCGUUGAUAAUGUAUGUAAAUGGGAAAAUGCAAUGAGAGGAAAAUACAAUUAAAAGCAUUAAAAUCACAACAA